UUCUUAUUUUUAUGGGUAUUGGUUUAGCCACUGGCGCGCCUGAUACCCACACGGCGCCCACGAAUACGGGACGCCACCAGAGAUAACUCUACCCCCGGUCGGCCUCCCGACCGGGGG
rnacentral:sRNA from 1 species